rnacentral:rRNA from 1 species
AUUGAACGCUGGCGGCAUGCCUUACACAUGCAAGUCGAACGGUAACAGGUCUUCGGAUGCUGACGAGUGGCGAACGGGUGAGUAAUACAUCGGAACGUGCCUAGUAGUGGGGGAUAACUACUCGAAAGAGUGGCUAAUACCGCAUGAGAUCUACGGAUGAAAGCAGGGGAUCGCAAGACCUUGUGCUACUAGAGCGGCCGAUGGCAGAUUAGGUAGUUGGUGGGAUAAAAGCUUACCAAGCCGACGAUCUGUAGCUGGGCUGAGAGGACGAUCAGCCCAACUGGGACUGAGACACGGCCCAGACUCCUACGGGAGGCAGCAGUGGGGAAUUUUGGACAAUGGGCGAAAGCCUGAUCCAGCAAUGCCGCGUGCAGGAUGAAAGCCUUCGGGUUGUAAACUGCUUUUGUACGGAACGAAAAGCCCCGGGUUAAUACCCUGGGGUCAUGACGGUACCGUAAGAAUAAGCACCGGCUAACUACGUGCCAGCCGCCGCCGUAA